CAAUAGCGUAUAUUAAAGUUGUUGCAGUUAAAAAGCUCGUAGUUGAAUUUUUGCUUGCCGCCGAUGUCGGAACUUCCGUACGUUCGGCGGCGUGCAUCCUUGGGUGGAACCUGUGUGGCAUUAGGUUGUCGUGCAGGGGAUGCUCAUCGUUUACUGUGAAAAAAUUAGAGUGUUCAAAGCAGGCUUACGCCGUUGAAUAUAUUAGCAUGGAAUAAUAAGAUAGGACCUUGGUACUAUUUUGUUGGUUUGCGCACCGAGGUAAUGAUUAACAGGGACAGUUGGGGGUAUUCGUAUUCCAUUGUCAGAGGUGAAAUUCUUGGAUUUCUGGAAGACGAACUACUGCGAAAGCAUUUACCAAGGAUGUUNUCAUUNA
rnacentral:rRNA from 1 species